rnacentral:lncRNA from 1 species
GGGCGCCGCCCCCCGCGGAUCCCAGGCCCCAGGGCUGGCGCCGCGGCAGGAGCCCGCGGCUUUCGAGCGUCGUUGCGAGCUGCGGCGCUCCGAGGUUUUCUUUCCCGCCCUUGAACCUGUGAAACCGCAGGGCCGGAGAGGCCUCUGACGAGCGCGGCGGAGCUCCUCGUCUUUACUCCCGGGGCCGCCGAGCUUGAGGGGCCGAGGCGGGGGACGCGCCGCGCGCCGACACGGGGGGAUUAGUGGGAGGAGACUUCGCGUCGCGCGGAGCGGGGAUUGCUAUGAUGCCAGUCGACAUUCUCUGAAUUAACGAAAAAACAAUCCUUCCACAUACACAAAACAUACAAACUAUGUGGAGAAAGGAAGUCUGUUCCCUUUCCUGUGCCAGUGCCUGACCAGGAAGAAUUUAGAGUAAGUUAGAACUAAUUUUUUUUUUUGUUAGUCAUUGUUUAAAAGAGGUUCCUUUCAAAUUAAUGCUGUUAGUAUAACCAUCUC